GGCCCUUUAAGAAGCAGCAUUUCUUGUUCCUUUAUGAGAAGCCCUCAUCUCUGCAUAUGGGAAUAGCAUGGCAACAAACUGCUGUUCUUAGGACACUGGGAGAAGUGUCCAUUAGUUUGUUCUGUGUAUCUGAGGAACAGCCUAUUUUCCUUGGUAAGACUUUCCUACCAUCUCAAGGAAAUGAACAAAGGUGAUACGCUCUGAUACGAGGAAAUACCAUGACGUCUUUCUGCACUUUCCAACAAAAGCCCUGCCAUAAUCUCAGACCCCAGCUCCAGCAUGCCGUCUCUUCUUGCUCCUUGGGCCUGUGUGCUCGCUGGUUGCAUUUUUGUUUCUUCAGCAGAAGUUUUCAGUCUCUCAGAUCAGUAUCCCCCACUGUGGAAUGAGAGUCCUGGUCAGUUCAGUGACUACAGUAUGGAGAAUGGAAAGUACAUUAUUGAUCCCUGGGUAUACCCUAAGAGAAUGGGCAUGUACAAAAUCCUCCUGAACAAGACAGCCAGUUAUUUUGAAAAAUUCGCACCAGAUAACGAACAAAAUUUUUUAUGGGGAUUACCUUUGCAGCAUAGCUGGCAGUUUAUAACAGGCAGAUUGGUUGAUCCCACCCGAACGACAGACUGUGGCUAUGAAUCUGGAGAUCAUUUGUGCAUCUCUGUAGACAGUUGGUGGGCUGACAUGAAUUACUUUCUGUGUGCACUGCCCUUCCUUGCUGCGGUGGAUUCUGGCAUAAUGGGGAUAUCAUCAGAUCAAGUGCUGCUUUUGCCACCACCCAAGGACCAGACAAAGUUUUGUCUUAGUGUUUCUAGCUGUCAGUCCUCCUUUCCUUUGACGAUGAGGAAGUGGAAUGCCCUUUACAAGCAUUUGCAGUCACCUUCUAGCAGCUUCGAGGACUUACUGAAGUACUUGUGGGAGGCACAUGUCUCAAGCUUGAAAGACGGUUACAAAAUUUUUGAAGACAGGUUAGACUAUUAUUCUAAACCAGAAGCAGAUUUUGGGAAAGAUUGGUGCGUGGUUUUGGACUAUCUAGCUGCAGCCAGCUUUCCCACGAUCUUUAGUACGGUAUCUGAGUUCCAGAAGGCCCUGCCACCAAGAGUGCUUGUGGAUGGGGACAGAGCUCCCUUCAUCAGCGACUUUACUGACCUUCAGAACAUAGUCCUGCUUGGUCUAAAGCUUCUUCAUGAAGUGGAUAGCGCGACAGGUUCACUAUCUUUAGCUAUAUGGAAAAUUUUAAUGAAGACACAGGCUGCAAAGACGCUACUUCUGGAGUUUUUUGAAGCAGUUCUUGCCAUCUUUAAUCCAACAUUUCUGGGAUGA
rnacentral:lncRNA from 1 species